rnacentral:rRNA from 1 species
GAGUUUGAUCCUGGCUCAGGAUGAACGCUGGCGGUAUGCCUAACACAUGCAAGUCGAACGGUGUCUUCGGACACAGUGGCGGACGGGUGAGUAACGCGUGAGAAUCUGCCUCUAGGUUGGGGACAACAGUUGGAAACGACUGCUAAUACCCGAUGUGCCGUAAGGUAAAAGAUUUAUUGCCUGGAGAGGAGCUCGCGUCUGAUUAGCUAGUUGGUGGGGUAAAAGCCUACCAAGGCAGCGAUCAGUAGCUGGUCUGAGAGGAUGAGCAGCCACACUGGGACUGAGACACGGCCCAGACUCCUACGGGAGGCAGCAGUGGGGAAUUUUCCGCAAUGGGCGAAAGCCUGACGGAGCAAUACCGCGUGAGGGAGGAAGGCCUUUGGGUUGUAAACCUCUUUUCUCAGGGAAGAAGAUCUGACGGUACCUGAGGAAUAAGCAUCGGCUAACUCCGUGCCAGCAGCCGCGGUAAUACGGAGGAUGCAAGCGUUAUCCGGAAUCAUUGGGCGUAAAGCGUCCGCAGGUGGUUUCUCAAGUCUGCUGUUAAAGACUGGAGCUCAACUCCGGAAAGGCAGUGGAAACUGAGAAACUAGAGUUCGGUAGGGGUAGCGGGAAUUCCCAGUGUAGCGGUGAAAUGCGUAGAUAUUGGGGAGAACAUCGGUGGCGAAGGCGCGCUACUGGACCGAAACUGACACUCAGGGACGAAAGCUAGGGGAGCGAAAGGGAUUAGAUACCCCUGUAGUCCUAGCUGUAAACGAUGGAAACUAGGUGUGGCUUGUAUCGACCCGAGCCGUGCCGUAGCUAACGCGUUAAGUUUCCCGCCUGGGGAGUACGCACGCAAGUGUGAAACUCAAAGGAAUGACG